AAAAAAAAUGUUUGAAUGUGUUUAGGGUUUUAGAUCUAUGGCUGCUGAUACCAUAUAGAGAAUGUAUUUCAUAUUUCAGAGAAGAACAUAUACAAGAGUUUAUAUAGUUACAGAGAGUUACAUAGGAACCUAGGGUUAGAGAGUAUUGACUAUAGAGUCCUUUCCAUAUGUAUACUUAUUUCCUUAUAGAUAACUCUUAGCCAUUAACAGUUGGCGAUCAGAGAAGAUGAGGGAGGAGCUUGACGCAAAUGAUAAU
rnacentral:lncRNA from 1 species